AACGAACGCUGGCGGCAUGCCUAACACAUGCAAGUCGAACGAACCCUUCGGGGUUAGUGGCGCACGGGUGCGUAACGCGUGGGAAUCUGCCCUUUGCUUCGGAAUAACAGUUAGAAAUGACUGCUAAUACCGGAUGAUGUCUUCGGACCAAAGAUUUAUCGGCAAGGGAUGAGCCCGCGUAGGAUUAGGUAGUUGGUGGGGUAAAGGCCUACCAAGCCGACGAUCCUUAGCUGGUCUGAGAGGAUGAUCAGCCACACUGGGACUGAGACACGGCCCAGACUCCUACGGGAGGCAGCAGUGGGGAAUAUUGGACAAUGGGCGAAAGCCUGAUCCAGCAAUGCCGCGUGAGUGAUGAAGGCCUUAGGGUUGUAAAGCUCUUUUACCAGGGAUGAUAAUGACAGUACCUGGAGAAUAAGCUCCGGCUAACUCCGUGCCAGCAGCCGCCGUAA
rnacentral:rRNA from 1 species